AUCGAACGCUAGCGGGAUGCCUUACACAUGCAAGUCGAACGGAGUGUCGAACGGGUGAUUACUGUAUCGUAAGGUGCCCAGUGGCGGGCGAUAACUACGCGAAGGCGUAGCUAAUACCACAUACUUUUGAAGCGGCCGAUGGUGGAUUAGCUGGUUGGUGGGGUAACGGCUCACCAAGGCGACGAUGCGUAGCUGGUUUGAGAGGACGACCAGCCACACUGGGACUGAGACACGGCCCAGACUCCUACGGGAGGCAGCAGUGGGGAAUUUUGGGCAAUGGGGGAAACCCUGAUCCAGCCAUCCCGCGUGUGCGAUGAAGGCCUUCGGGUUGUAAAGCACUUUUGUCAGGAAAGCGGUACCUGCAGAAAAAGCACCGGCUAACUACGUGCCAGCAGCCGCGGUAAUUC
rnacentral:rRNA from 1 species